rnacentral:lncRNA from 9 species
CCCCCCACCCCACCCCCUGCACCCCGAGUUCCUCUCCAUCACUGUCUCCCUUGAGCAGCCUGAAAAGGCUGACAUUUCAGUUUGGAAUCUUGGACUUGCCACCAUCGUUAUGGAAACUCCAGACCACACGGCCUGAGGGGGAUGCUGCAGGGACCCCAUCCCCCAAAUCCUUCUGCUUUGCUUCCCUGGUCCCUGCGACUCCCAGGGCUCUGAGGCUUUGGGGAAGUGGCAGGCUCUCAGGAAGCAGGGUGCGUGGGAAGCUCCUGAGAGAGGGGUCCACCAGUGUAGUCACGGGAGUAGCGUGGGGGAGGUGUGAGGGCCAGUUUUAAUAAGAACGAAGGGCGGGGAACUGGCCUGGCAGGCAGAGGAACAGGCAGAAGGCAGGUGGCCAGCAUCUGAGACCAAACUGAGGCAUCUUUUUCUGUGCACUUGGCUCUUCCCAGGGCUGCCAAUCAACUGAGUAGCCAGGGAAUCUGACAGGCCUACUCCCAGCAAAUUACCCAGCCUGGUCUCCCUGUUAGAAGAACUUCAAUUCCAACCUCAUCCAUUUGGAUGGACCCUCCGCAGAGGGGACAUUAUGGACAUCUGUCACUUCUUCAACUUGGAUUCCUGGGGUGCUUCUCAGGGUAAGAGACAUGCCAUCCGGAUGCCCUCGUGUCCAUGCAGACCCUCCACCUACCAGAGUCAACUCUGAGAUUUGAGGUUUUAAAAAACAACAUGGACCACCAAAGAAGGGUCACCCUGGUUUGGAGCCAAAAGUGCAAGUGCCUACCUGUGUCCCGCAGCCGUUGAGAUAGUUAGGGAGCUAGCAUGCUAUUAGAAAUCGAAGGCUUUUAAAUAAUUUUUCCUAAUAUCCCUGUAAGCAAAGGGCAGCGGCCCUGGGGUUCAGGAGAGACUGGGCUCUUGUCUGAUUUCUCUGCCCCAUGAGCCCUGGCAGGGCUGGGCUGGCGCUGAUGACACGGAGGCGUUAUCUGGCUCUAACCACAUCACGUGUCUCCUUGGUGCCAGGUGGUCUUCAGGCAAAGGUGGUGCCUGAGGUCAGGGUGGAGCAGACAGCAGCUCUGCUGGCCCCGAGGGUUCCAGAAGAAGUCAGACAGGUCGCGACAUGUACCCUACCCGCAAGUCACCUCACUUCUUCCAGAUCACAGCUCGGGCACAGGGCUCCACGACGUGGAAGGCAGCGUGUCCUGUAGCUCCCAGCAUGAUGUCCCGUGAUCGGAUUGGAAUUAGGAUACUCAGGAAACAGAGGUGAAGGGCUGAGCUCGGGUUGCCAGCGACCCCUCCCUUACCUGCCCACUUCACCUGGGAAAAUAGGACUUUAAGGUAAGUCUUUGAAGUCUGCAUUACUCACUAUCCAUCCCAGUUGGGGAGAGGGGAGACCAGAAAACCCAGGGUGUGCAAAACCUCUUGUUUCAGCAGCUCAUUGCUGAGACGCUGACUUCUUUGAGCGCUGAAAUAACAUGACUAGCAAGAGCAUUAGAGACUUAGCGCCCUCUGAGUGCGCAGCCUUAUAGGAACCAAAAAGAACCUCGGAGUCCAGCCUUUGGGAUGCAUAGC